CAAGAGGUUCGACCCGAGCGAAGCGAGAGAACGUUGCGUCAGCAACGGCCCGCAGGGCGAGCCACGCAGUGGCGAGUCAUCCUCUAUCACCGACCA
rnacentral:sRNA from 1 species